rnacentral:rRNA from 1 species
CAAGUCGAGCGGAGAUAGUGGAACAUGCUCCAUUAUCUUAGCGGCGGACGGGUGAGUAACACGUGGGCAACCUGCCCUGCAGAUCGGGAUAACUCCGGGAAACCGGUGCUAAUACCGAAUAGUUUGCGGCCUCUCAUGAGGCUGCACGGAAAGACGGUUUCGGCUGUCACUGCAGGAUGGGCCCGCGGCGCAUUAGCUAGUUGGUGAGGUAACGGCUCACCAAGGCCACGAUGCGUAGCCGACCUGAGAGGGUGAUCGGCCACACUGGGACUGAGACACGGCCCAGACUCCUACGGGAGGCAGCAGUAGGGAAUCUUCCGCAAUGGACGAAAGUCUGACGGAGCAACGCCGCGUGAGUGAAGAAGGUUUUCGGAUCGUAAAACUCUGUUGUGAGGGAAGAACAAGUACCAACUAACUACU